UCCAAAACCGAAGACUCUGGAGAUUAUCAUCUACACAUGAGCAACAGCACACAUACCUUACAGAGGACCAUCAGCGUUAUUGUCAAGACUCCACCUCAGUCAGGUGCUCCUACAGGGAUAUAUGGUGCUGGUGUUGGUCUGGUAGUUUGGGCUGUAAUUGUGUUUUUUGCUGAAAGAUUUGUAGACAACGAAAUCAAAGGUGUUUCAGUGAAAAUAAAGUGAAUCACUCUCAGGAUCAGCAUGGAAAAAUGAAGAGAAACAACAGUUCAUAAUCACUGUAACAAGAUAAACGUGGGCUUUGCCUGACAUGUUAUUCAGUUUUAAUUUGCUUGUUUUAUGGAUAUAUUUUUACAUAAAUCUUGCUUUUUGUCAUGCUUGACUAUAUUGUUUUGGGGAUGCCAUUCAUAUAAAAGUUUAUGUUCAUCUGGUGCUUAUACAGACAAAAAUACAAUAAAACCAAUUAAACUUGAUAAAACUGAGACUGUGUUUUAUGGUGCCAGCGUGAACAGUGUGGAUGGAAUGCAAGUUUCUGAAAUUGCCCAUGGCAUAAAGAAAGAUCAGACAAGUGUU